UACGUAGGGUGCAAGCGUUGUCCGGAAUUACUGGGCGUAAAGAGCUCGUAGGUGGUUUGUCGCGUUGUUCGUGAAAACUCACAGCUUAACUGUGGGCGUGCGGGCGAUACGGGCAGACUUGAGUACUGCAGGGGAGACUGGAAUUCCUGGUGUAGCGGUGGAAUGCGCAGAUAUCAGGAGGAACACCGGUGGCGAAGGCGGGUCUCUGGGCCAUUACUGACGCUGAGGAGCGAAAGCGUGGGGAGCGAACAGG
rnacentral:rRNA from 1 species